rnacentral:lncRNA from 1 species
CCUUAACAAUAUAGGUGAAACAAUUUCCCGUAGGGAUUCUGUACAGGUUUUUUGGUAUACGGGAGGAAUUUUGCACACACUGAGGGUUAGUUCGAAAUUUCAACAAUAGAUGGCUUUAUGAUUUCGAAUUUCACCAAUAGGUGGCUUUGAUUACUUUUUCGGCAAAAGGUGGUGGGUCGGUCGAAUGUUUCACAAUUUCACCAAUAGAUGGCGGCUUUGAUUAAAGCUCUGAUUUUUUCUGGGGUGGGUUUGAACUACGCGCUUAGAAGUUUUCCCCAUCUAUGCUACCGCUACCUAGUCGAGUCGAGUUCGAGCAUGUAUCUUGCUUGAAUCGGGUAAAACCAGUAAAUGUUAAAAGCAAAGCAAAUAGCUUUUGUUUAUAUCAUGGUUUAUAUAUACUGCCACUCCAGCCACCAGCCAACUUUACUCUCCAGCCAUUAACAUUUAACCAGAAAUACAGUGAAUCACAAGAAGAGUGGCUCACACCCUCACAGAAUUUGCAUUUCAGGAAAGUGUACUAAAUUUGAAAAACUACCCUACAUCCUCCAUCAAGGAGGAGAAAAAUUGGUUGUUAAAUAGGACAAAUCAAACACAGGCUACAACAGCUGGAUGAAUUUUAAGAGCAUGUGAGUGAACACAAGGCCUGGGAUUUAGAUCAAAGAGUCAAAGCCCUAAAAACUUUAAUUCAGUGCUCUAUUAUUCUGUUUAAAUCUCACCUCUUUGCUUUUUAUCUGAGCAAAUUUGUCCUCAUUAUUUACCCUCAUUUUCAUAAUUUUGGUCAAAUGGUUGUUUGAAGGCAUUGCUGAUAAAGAUAUCAGGCUUGUUGGUUUAGGAAAUUGGAUACAUCUACACUGGUUUCUCCCAGUAUUGGCAGUGAGAAAAUGUCUGGGAAACCACUGAGGGCAAGAUCAUCAACUGUAAAGGAAUGGAUUGGAUCAAGGCGUUGGCCAAUCAUCUAUGGUAUGUCAUUUCCCCGGUUGGGACUAUCACUUGCCUUGCUCGAGUACGAGGCCUCUUGUGGAAUAUCGUCAAAUCUAUGCCAAUGAGCCAUCUCCUUCCUAUUCAUCAACAUGUACUUCGUUGAGAGACUUGGAGAGUUGGAAAAUUGUAGCCUCUUCCGUUAUGCCAUUUUUGUCGCGAUGCAUUUGAAAUCGUCACCAUCUUUUGCGUUUGUCGCGUAGCGUUUGUGGAAGACAUCCUCGGCCGUCAUAUCGGACAAGAAAAAUACGAGCAGUGCGAGCGUUUCCUCGUCGAAAAACUUUGCGUUCCGUCUCAGUGGAUUGAUAAAUGUCGGGCAGUUAAGGCGCUUUAUGCGUUUAAUCCGAAACUUCAUGCCACUUCCCUGCUUGCCAGAACUUUACAGCCAAGCACACGACAUCAUUUGUGAUGAACUUGCCCCGGAAGCUAUCCUGUCUGAAACCUAUCUGGAGUUAGAGGAACUCUUGGCUCUCUUGGCUGACCCGGAACGAUUCAGUACGAUUGCCGAUUGGUACGGUAGAGGAUAAUUCCAGUAAAAAGGGAAUGCAACUAGAAUCUCUGCAAGUUGGUGUCCUCUCUACCCGUACCCUCCGCCAAGCACAGGCUUGUUCGCACGGAAAUAGCCCAGAAAGCGGCUAACAUUUUAAAAAACAUUAUCGGACUCCAGUUAAAGUUGCUUAUUGAAGUGAAAAAUUCCUGGUCAUUUUAGCUCAAAUUUAUUUGAUCUCUCAUUAGUCGGUCAGCGCAUCCGAGGAAAUUGUAGUUCACCCUCGUUUUGUCCUGAUUCAACAAUUCCGUCAGCUUCCUGUGACGCAGGAUUACUCAUUCUAAGAGCUUAACAACGUUGUUCGUGCGUACUUUCUCGAAAGUUUUGAAUGUUCGAAAGGUGCCAAGUUAAAAAGAUCCUGUAUUUUUUUACUUUUAUUUCAAAAUUGUCCUCGGGAUCGACUGUGAAUUUGCGUCUUAUACUCUUAUGUAAACUAAACAUUACUAACCCAAAUCUAGAGCAAAUGUCAUAGGUAACACUUCAACCCUCGCCUUAUCGUGUUAUAGUGGCUGUAUAAAAAAGGACUGAAUAACUUGUGAAUAAAACUGUGUUAAAUUUA